rnacentral:lncRNA from 1 species
GAAAGGAACCAUGUGCAAGUCCUUCAAUCCUAGUCCAAAUGAGGUGAUCUAGGACUUUUUGGAAAGUUGAGAUCAAGGGGAAUAACUUUCAUGUUGAACACGUUUUCAUUGGAAGCUUGGAUCAUGAUUAAUUUUGAGGUGGAAGUUUGGAAAAUCAAACAUAUUUGAAAAUUUUCUAAGUACCAAGUCAUAUGUUCACUUCUUCCAUCUUGAAUAACUUUUUCUAUGAGCUUCAAAUGGAAACAUUUCCUUCAUCAAUAUUGUAGAUCUUUCAAACCUCUUCAAUUUGGUAAUAAAGUUGACCUAAUUUGGAUUUGGCAUGAAGAAUUUAUGCAUUUUAGAAGUUGAGGAAAAUUGCUUCUUUAAUGGUAAUGGCCUAAAAUGAACUAUAAUGUUUCCUCUUGGAACAUGCCCUUACAAGUUGAAUUUGAAGUUUAUCAAAGAAUAAAAGUUGGAAAGGACAUCUUGAAAUUGAUCAUGAAACUUUGAUGGUUUUCAUAUCAUAAACAUUGAGCAAGGUAUGGUCCUUAGAAGUUGACCUUCUAACUAGGGUACAGACAAAAUGACCUAUAAUCUUUCACCAUAAAAAAUGACUUUCCAUGCAAAACUAGCUCUUUAAUUCAACAUAAAAGUUGUUUGUAAUGUCAUAAGGAGUAACUUUUGUCUUGGAAUAAUUUUCAUAUGACAAAAUUUGUAGGAGAUAAGGUCUAGGGAAUCCUGGUUUUGACCAGUUGACUUUUUCUAGUCAACCUCUUUGAACCAACUUGAAAACUUGAAGUUAUCUUGAUCUUUUGGAUUCAUGGAGGUUGACCAGUUGACUUUUUCUAGUCAACCUCUUUGAACCAACUUGAAAACUUGAAGUUAUCUUGAUCUUUUGGAUUCAUGGAGGAUAAUAUAUGCAUAAUAUGAUAUAUAAUGAAGUAUCCCUUGAUAUAUUUGAUCAAUUGUUGAAGAAACUUAUUGAGGAAGUCACACAAGACACCUAGAUGAAUUAGGGCUUCCAAGGCAAACAAUCUUCAAACUCUUGAUGCAUUCUUGAUCAAAAUGAUAAAUGAAGAUAAUGGGGAUCCAUAUAUGAUGUCUAGAACCAACUGGAACCAUCUCUUGAUUGAUAUCCUUUCAUUUAGUGUCUCAAACCCUAGUUGUGAGCUUGAUGAGGCAUUGGUGGAUGCACACACUACCUACAAAAGAAACAAAGUUAUACAUAGACAUAUUUUUGGUAUUUUGGUUAGUAAAUAAUAAAAAACAAAGUGUGAUACAAUCAAAUAUGCUUGGUGAUCUCUCCAAAUGAAAACCUAAUGAAUGAGGGGUAAGGAGGAUGCCAAUGUGUGAUCCCAAAGCCAAUGCAAAUGAUGAAAUAGCAUGAGGGAUCUUAGGAUCAAAAUUGGGGUCUUACAUUGGUUAUUGAAGCAAUACCAACAUAUAUAAAGAUGACUUAUUCAUUACAAACGGAGUGUAUCAAGGAAAUCCAGAAACUGCAAAGAGAGUACUUUAAUGCAACCGAAAAGCAUGGGGGCCUAGGCUUCAGAAAUUUGGUUAUUAUGAACAAAGCUUGUUUAUGUAAACUUGGUAGUAAAUUGAUGACAUGGGAGAAUAUAAUAUGGUUCUAAGUGGUUAGAGGGAAGUACGAUAGAGGAAAUAAUAAUCUUGAUGUUGUUAGUGCCAUAAUUCAAGAUUCGAGUCUCUGAAAAAACAUCAUAAAAAUUUGUCCUGCUUUGAAAGAUUCAACAUCUUGGGAUAUAGGAAAUGGCACGCAAGUUAACAUCUCAAAUGAUUGUUGGAUUCAUUCUGGUUUAAUUUAGAAAGAUAUGGCAGGAGAUAUAAAGUUGCAGCAUGUGGAAAAAGUGGCAAAAUUAGUGGAUGGAAAUUAAGAGUGAAACCUCAGUUUACUUAACAACUUAUUUGACCAGAAUAUUGUUACAUAAAUCAUAGCAAUUCACCCGCCCAGAGAUGAUCAUGGUGAUGAUGUUUGUACGUAAUUUCCAUCAUUUGUAUAUAUAAUUGUUAGAAAACUUAUUCAUCACUUUGUAAAUAAAAUAUGAUGGGUUGCUAACUUCAAUUUAGUGGUUUCUAUUCUAACAUAACUGCAAGAAGUCAUUCAUAAAUCAAGAAUUA